GCCCGUGUGGUGUAGUGGUUGCAUACCACGAGGUAGUUCUCGAAUGUACACUACUAAACUACACUUGUGGGGCCCAGGUUCGAUUCCUGGCACGGGCA